AUUGAACGCUGGCGGCAUGCUUUACACAUGCAAGUCGAACGGGUGGCGAACGGGUGAGUAAUAUAUCGAAACGUACCGAUUAAUGGGGGAUAACCCAUCAAACGGUUGGCUAAUACCGCAUAUUAUUCAUGCGGCCGAUAUCUGAUUAGCUAGUUGGUGGGUUAAAGGCCUACCAAGGCGACGAUCAUUAGCGGGUCUGAGAGGAGGAUCGGCCACACUGGGACUGAGACACGGCCCAGACUCCUACGGGAGGCAGCAGUGGGGAAUUUUGGACAAUGGGGGCAAGCCUGAUCCAGCCAUGCCGCGUGUAUGAAGAAGGCCUUCGGGUUGUAAAGUACUUUUGGUAGGGAAGCGGUACCUAAAGAAGAAGCACCGGCUAACUACGUGCCAGCAGCCGCGGUAAUAC
rnacentral:rRNA from 1 species